rnacentral:rRNA from 1 species
AACGAACGCUGGCGGCAGGCCUAACACAUGCAAGUCGAGCGAGCAUUUCGGUGCUAGCGGCGGACGGGUUAGUAACGCGUGGGAACGUGCCCUUUGCUACGGAAUAGUCCUGGGAAACUGGGGGUAAUACCGUAUGUGCCCUUCGGGGGAAAGAUUUUAUCGGCAAAGGAUCGGCCCGCGUUGGAUUAGGUAGUUGGUGGGGUAAUGGCCUACCAAGCCGACGAUCCAUAGCUGGUUUGAGAGGAUGAUCAGCAACACUGGGACUGAGACACGGCCCAGACUCCUACGGGAGGCAGCAGUGGGGAAUCUUAGACAAUGGGCGCAAGCCUGAUCUAGCCAUGCCGCGUGGACGAUGAAGGCCUUAGGGUUGUAAAGUCCUUUCAGCUGGGAAGAUAAUGACGGUACCAGCAGAAGAAGCCCCGGCUAACUCCGUG